ACAACUUCCUCAUUGGCUCAAGGGGGCAAUUCGUUCAAAAAGGUUAACAACCACUGCCCUAUACAAUAUCAUUACUACACAACUGCAUUGGCUAUCUACAACUUCCAGGUGAACUUUGCUAUGCAAAGUUAUGGGUGCUAUGCACCCAUAAAGCCCUUCAUGACACAGGCUUUGUUACCUGUGGGGCCACCUAUCUCUGAUUGUUUCUGGUUGGCCCAUGGGCUCUCACAGGGUGGGCAAGAUUUGGAUCACUUCUAUGAAACACUGCCACCUAGUGGGACCAGAGAAGCAUGCCUUCUCUGUCAUAACACCUGCCCUUUGGAACAGCAUUAUCAUCUGAGAUUUGGAUAAUCCCGAUCAUGUUGACUUUCUGAAACUUCAGUGCUUUGGACAAACAGAAGCAAAAGCAUUUAUCAUUCAGAGACUUAAAGGGCAUAGUUUAAAUAUUCCUGAAUGAAGAAUGAGAAAACAUGGAAACAGAUAAAAUUACUAUGAUAAUAUAAAAAAGCUGAAAAAGGUUCCACAUUUCUAUUCUAAGGAAACAGCUGCAAUUGUCAGGAUGCCAUGGACUUCCUAUAAUGCACAGAGAGUCCCUAAUAGAUAAAAAAACUGCUCAACUGAUGUCUGUCUCUUUGUCCUCUAAAGAAUGAAAAAAAAAAAAAAACAGCAUAUUUGAGAGAAAAAAAAUCAGGUAAUGAUCUGAUUGUUGCCAAACAGGCAGUUAGUAACAAUGCCCAGCUGUAGUAGCACGGUCAU